GAAAAUGCGUCGAACGGAUGGAAGUACUGCGGGAUUCAGCCGCGUGAAGAGAGCCGGCGGAAGCUGGGAAGCCGGUCCGGCCCCCGCGGGAACUGGGAUUCGGGAGCAUUCCUUUCCCGUGUGUGACACAGGAGAGGGACGGCGGACGCCGUUAUGAGUGAGGGCGUUUCCAACGAAACGAACGAGGGUGGUACCGCGAGCAACUUUCUCGUCCCUUGG
rnacentral:ncRNA from 1 species